AUAUCCACUCCAUCUUCCUAGAAGGAGAAGUAGAGAGCCUAUAAUGCAUCGAAACACAAUUUCAAACAAAACUAUGUGGCAGAGACUUGGAAGCAGUUGCAGUGCCUUUCAAACAAAGAUAUCAGGAAGGCAAUCGAAUAAAGAAAGCCAACUACAGGCAGUAACUGCCUAUAGAAAUACAGCAGUCCCCCCUUAUCCAUGCUUUCAGUUACCUGUGGUCAACUGAGGUCCAAAGAUAUUAAAUGGAAAUUCCAGAAAUAAAUAACUCCUAAGUUUUAAAUUAUGUGCCAUUCUGUGCAGCAUGAUGAAAUCUUGCACUGUCCCACUCCGUGUUGCCGAGGAUGCGAAUCAUCCCUUUGUCCAGCAUAUCCUCGCUGUAUAUGCUGUAUCGACUGUUGUGGUAUCACAGUAGUUGUAUUCAAGUAACCCUUAUUUUACUUAUUAAUGUGCCAAAGCCCAAGAGUAGUGAUGCUGGCAAUUUGGGUAUGCCAAAGAGAAGCUCCCUUUAAGGGAAAAGGUGAAAGUUCUCAACUUAAUAAGAAAACAAAGAAAUCUGUAUGCUGAGGGUGCUAAGAUCUACAGUAACUUUUAUUACAAUACAUUGUUAUAAUUGUUCUCUUAUUAGUUAUUGUUAAUCUCUUACUGUGCCUAAUUUAUAAAUUAAAAUUUAUCAUACGUAUGCAUGUAUAGGAAAAACCAGUGUAGAUAGGGUUUGGUACUAUCUGUGGUUUGAGGCAUCCACUGGGAGUCUUGGAACAUAUCCCUGUGGAUAAGAGGGGACUUCUGUACAAUAACAUCCGCAAGCACCAUCAAAUAAUCAUAAUUACUUAAAAAAUAAUGCUUCUGAUAAACUCCUACAAAAAUCUCAGGGCCUUAAUUUAUGAAACAGCAUAGAGCUUGUGGGAGGGGACAGUAAACCACAGAAUGGAGGGAUAUGGAUAAUUGUGACUUAUCCCCUGGUCCUGGGUGAGAAAAAAGAAUCAAACUUUCAAUGCCACUCACUCCCUUUUCAAAGCCACUCACUUCAUUUUCAAAGCCCUCACAUCAGUUAAAAAAAAAAAGAAAAGAAAAGAAAAGCAAAUUAAAAAGAUCUCACACCAGCUUUAGCUCUGCCUGCUCUUCUUUCUGAGCCCCUUCCUCUAUUGUUCUCCCCUUCCAGUCCUAGGACAACGCUGUUCAUAGGAGGCAGGCUUGUAAAGAAAUGCUCAUUUUUCAAGAAAGGAGGCCUAUAAACAACCGAGAGAAACAAAAACAGCAGCUCACAAUAAAAAUGACAAAAACAAUCUGAUUGGAUAUAAAGUCUCAAGAGGACUGGGAUAUAAACUUUAGGAGCUGAGAAGAUCAAUUGAGAUGUUGUCUUGUGUUGUAAAUGGCUCUGCCAAGUAGGUUGACAUAGUUGAAAGGCACAUGCAUGUCAGUGCUUAAUUAUAGAAACCUGUAGGGCUACAUUUAUUGGUUGCAGGAGGUCUAUUCCAGCUAAAACCUAAAUAAACCAGGAAGAGAGGAGCAGGUAGGAAAUGUUCCAGAAACCAAUAAAUGGAUUUGGGUGGAGUUCUAGAAGACUGUUCCAAUGGCAGAAAUGAAUUUUUCUUCCCUUUCUUCCUCCCUUUCUUCUUUUUGGUUGUGUGGAAUUGAGAGUUGAGUUUGAGAGAAAGCCAAAGAAGGGAAUUGUUUUUCUACCAGUUACAAACGGGAACCUUGCACUCAGUUUGGUUCCUGGAAACAUUGCUAGCAUGCGCAGAACCAGGAGAGAGCCUGUUUGGAAAUUAUCCAAUUCCUGUGCUUUUCCUUUAGGCACUUCCAACUCCAUGAGCGACCUGGCAGAAGAAAAAAGAAGAUCAAAGUCAAAUCUGUUGAUUCUGCUACUUAGAUUAAAAGGUUGGAAAUGGAUGCAGAAUUUUCAAACAUUAGAGAAAUAUGUGUUUGAAUACAGAGAGCAAGUUCCUAGUAAUUCUACCACUCAAAGAGAACAACGUUAUCAACUUGUU
rnacentral:lncRNA from 1 species